UUGAACGCUGGCGGCCGGCCUCACCCCUGCCGGUCGAGCGGAUGAAGGGAGCUUGCUCCUGGAUUCAGCGGCGGACGGGUGAGUAAUGCCUAGGAAUCUGCCUGGUAGUGGGGGAUAACGUCCGGAAACGGGCGCUAAUACCGCAUACGUCCUGAGGGAGAAAGUGGGGGAUCUUCGGACCUCACGCUAUCAGAUGAGCCUAGGUCGGAUUAGCUAGUUGGUGGGGUAAAGGCCUACCAAGGCGACGAUCCGUAACUGGUCUGAGAGGAUGAUCAGUCACACUGGAACUGAGACACGGUCCAGACUCCUACGGGAGGCAGCAGUGGGGAAUAUUGGACAAUGGGCGAAAGCCUGAUCCAGCCAUGCCGCGUGUGUGAAGAAGGUCUUCGGAUUGUAAAGCACUUUAAGUUGGGAGGAAGGGCAGUAAGUUAAUACCUUGCUGUUUUGACGUUACCAACAGAAUAAGCACCGGCUAACUUCGUG
rnacentral:rRNA from 1 species